GCAAGUCGAACGAUGAAGCAGAGCUUGCUCUGUGGAUUAGUGGCGCAAGGGUGAGUAACGCGUGAGUAACCUACCCUCAAGUUGGGAAUAAUUCUCCGAAAGGAGGACUAAUACCGAAUGUGGUUGUAACAUUGCAUAUUGUUACAACUAAAGAUUUAUCGCUUGAGGAUGGGCUCGCGUCCCAUUAUGUUUGUUGGUGAGGUAACGGCUCACCAAGACUAUGACGGGUAGGUGGUCUGAGAGGAUGGUC
rnacentral:rRNA from 1 species